GGGCCUCGCAGCGCCCCCCCAUCUGCCCCCAUAAGCAUCACAGCGACGUGGGGGGGUGGGGAGGCGGAGGUGGGUCCCCCCAUUUUGGGGGGGGUUCACACCAACUUCUUGGCCUCGAAGAAGCUCUUGAGGUGCCUCAUCUGCCAGAUGCCGGUGAGGAUGAGGAUGACGGUCUGAGCGAUGGACCACCACAGCACGCGUUGGUUGGUGCUCUCACUCGUCAUCCGGAACCGCUCCUCCCGGUACCGUUGGUAGUUCUGCUCCUUCUGGAUCUGCUCCACCUGGUCCAGCAGUUGGCGGGCGCGCAGCUGCAGCUCCGUCAGUUUGUCCUUCGCUGCGAUCUCGGGGUAAUUGUUGGUGUGUUCGCCCACCUGGAUGUCCAGAUGGACCCUCAGUUUGCCUCCAGCAAACAGAGCCAUGCGGGUGGAAUUGGAGUGCAGGCAGAUCUGGUGCUCGCCCGGCGUGUGCGAUGUGAAGGUGAAGCGGCCCUCGGAGCCGUACUGCCUCGACAGCACCAC
rnacentral:lncRNA from 1 species